CGUGUAGGCGGCUAGGUAAGUCAGAUGUGAAAGCCCCAGGCUCAACCUGGGAAGUGCAUUUGAAACUGCUUGGCUAGAGUGAGGGAGAGGAAGGUGGAAUUCCUGGUGUAGAGGUGAAAUUCGUAGAUAUCAGGAGGAACACCCGUGGCGAAGGCGGCUUUCUGGCCCUUUUCUGACGCUGAGACGCGAAAGCGUGGGGAGCAAACAGGAUUAGAUACCCUGGUAGUCC
rnacentral:rRNA from 1 species